GCCAGGAUGGCCGAGUUGGUUAAGGCGUCGGACUUAAGUUCCGAUUCGGGAUUCCGAGCGUGGGUUCAAAUCCCACUCCUGGCA
rnacentral:tRNA from 1 species